UACGUAGGGUGCUAGCGUUGUCCGGAUUUAUUGGGCGUAAAGGGCUCGUAGGCGGCGUGUCGCGUCGGGGAGUGAAAGCCCGCUGCUUAACGGCGGGUUGGCUUCCGGUACGGGCAUCGCUGGAGUGCGGCAGGGGAGACUGGAAUUCCUGGUGUAGCGGUGAAAUGCGCAGAUAUCAGGAGGAACACCGGUGGCGAAGGCGGGUCUCUGGGGCCGAUACUGACGCUGAGGAGCGAAAGCGUGGGGAGCGAACAGG
rnacentral:rRNA from 1 species